GACGAACGCUGGCGGCGUGCUUAACACAUGCAAGUCGAACGAAGUGGCGAACGGGUGAGUAACGCGUAAUCAACCUGCCCUUCAGAGGGGGACAACAGUUGGAAACGACUGCUAAUACCGCAUACUGAAGGAGGGGCUUGCGUCUGAUUAGCUGGUUGGAGGGGGAACGGCCCACCAAGCCGAGGAUCAGUAGCCGGUCCGGGAGGAUGAACGGCCACAUUGGGACUGAGACACGGCCCCGACUCCCACGGGAGGCAGCAGUGGGGAAGCGUCCGCAAGUGACGAAAGUCUGACGGAGCAACGCCGCGUGAGUGAUGACGGCCUUCGGGUUGUAAAGCUUUGUUAAUCGGGACGCGGUACCGGAAUAGAAAGCCACGGCUAACUACGUGCCAGCAGCCGCGGUAAUAC
rnacentral:rRNA from 1 species